GACGAACGCUGGCGGCGUGCUUAACACAUGCAAGUCGUGCGGUAAGGCCCCUUCGGGGGUACACGAGCGGCGAACGGGUGAGUAACACGUGAGCAAUCUGCCCUUCACACAGGGAUAACCUCGGGAAACCGAAGCUAAUACCUGAUACGACCACUUCAGGCAUCUGAUGGUGGUGGAAAGUUCCGGCGGUGAAGGAUGAGCUCGCGGCCUAUCAGCUUGUUGGUGGGGUAAUGGCCUACCAAGGCAACGACGGGUAGCCGGCCUGAGAGGGUGACCGGCCACACUGGGACUGAGACACGGCCCAGACUCCUACGGGAGGCAGCAGUGGGGAAUAUUGGACAAUGGGCGAAAGCCUGAUCCAGCAACGCCGCGUGAGGGAUGACGGCCUUCGGGUUGUAAAGCCCUGUCGGGAGGAACGAACGAUCUCGCGGUCAAUAGCCGCGGGAUGUGACGGUACCUCCGAAGGAAGCACCGGCCAACUCC
rnacentral:rRNA from 1 species